GUGAUCCUCCUGCCUCAGCCUCCCAAGUAGCUAGGACUACAGGAACAGUCUACCACACACAGCUGCCUCUCAUGAAUUUGGGAUGGGAAAUCAAAGAGGAGGAGCUGUAACCCAUUCUUGGGUCAGUGCCAAAAGAAGAUAAAGGAACAGCUGCAAGAUACUGCAGAGUGAAGAAUGGUAAUUCAGCAGAAGCCAGAAAUCAAACCCAGAGGUACCAAGAGAAUGGGAAGCCCAGAAAAAUCUCAGGGAGUUUGGGAGAGCAUCGACUUCCUGUAAGACCUGGGAUGAGGUUUCCAGGAUUCAAUGAGAAGACAGUAGUCUGCAAUCCAGAAGAGGACCCUCACCAGAAUGCAACCUUGCCAGCAUGCUGAUCUAGGAUUUCCAGCCUUCCAAACUGUGAGAAAUAAAUUUCUCAUUUGUGUAUAAGCCAUCGAGUCUGUGGUGCUUUGUCAUACCAGCCCCAAAUGACUAAAACAAUAGGUGGUGUGUGUUUUGAUUUUGAUCCUCUCCUUUGAUCAUUCUAUCUUGCUUUAUUUGUUUCUGUUUUCCCCUGUGGUUCCAUAC